rnacentral:lncRNA from 1 species
UACAUGCUUUUUUUUCCAAAUUGUCCUUAAACCUGACAUAAUCAUGGAAUCACAGAAUCACAGAAUCACAGAAUCACAGAAUUGAAGGGGUUGGAAGGGACCUCAAAAGAUGUUUGGGUCCAACUCCCCUGCCAAAGCAGGUUCCUCAGAGCAGGCUGCUGAGGUAGGUGUCCAGACAGGCCUUGAAUAUCUCCGGAGGAUUCCACAACUUCCCUGAGCAGCCUGUUCCAGUGCUCCGUCACCCUCACCGUGAAGAAGUUCUUUCUCAUGUUGGUGCAGAACUUCCUGUGCUCUAUCUUGUGGUCAUUAUUACUGCAAAAAUACAUUCAACGUAAGACCAGAUAUUUUUUAAUUAGUGAGACAUAAUUCAUUUCUGCUUUUUUUUUUUUUUUUUUUUUUUUUUUUUUUUUUUCCAACAGCUUAAAGCAAUUGCUACAUUCUCUCCAAUAUAUGAAUAACAUCCAUAUUCUUUUAACAACAGCUGCUUCUCCUCUUAAAUGUCCACUACCUCUGAGGUCAAUGGGUUACAAGAACAGCAUAAUUUGAAUGGGAAGGUCAAGUCAAUACUUGGACUGGACAAGGGUUGCGUCACCUGGUGGGAAAAGAGCAACUUGGAUCAUCUAUGGAGAGGAGAGGGAACUGAAAGGAGUACAUACUGUUAUUCAUGAAGAAAUUUAGGGAAAUUUCUAUCUCUUAUUCCACAUCUGAAGAGUGGAGAGAGAGAAAAUAUUUCAUAAUUUCCUGAGACUUUCAUCCUAUGCUUCACUAUAUCACCACCUUUUUAACACAAUGAAAAUGUGCAUUAUACCUUAUAUAUCAUACAGCAACAUACUUUAGAAGCAAUAAGUUUUGUACAUUAAUCAUAUAGAAAACAAUGUUAGCUACUUCUAGAUCUAGAAUUCUAACAAACUUUUUCUUUAGCAAUUGUUCAAUAUUUCCCCUCUCAGAGACAGAAAAGAUACAGUGAAACAGAUUAAAAAUACUUACCUUUGUUUCACCUGUGAAUUUUUCUCUUUCCAUCACUUAAAUUUUGGAUUGUUAAAAACAAGCACAGUUGAGAACCAGUCAGAAUAUCUAUAGAAAGGCAAUACUUUUCUUUCGUUUAAUUUUGAUCAAUAUAAUUUUAGUGCUACUUCCUAAUAUGAAGAAGCUUUUUCACUGAAUUGAUAGAUAUUUGUCAAUAAA